GAUGCCAGGGUCAAAAGCCUGAAACCACGAUGUGCUUGCACAGGAGUGGUUUUAUGGCUUAAUGACCCGCCCCAAUAUGAGCAUAAAAGUGGAGCGUAAGCUUCACGAUAUGCGAAUAUUGGAUAGAAUUGUGGGAGUACGAAGUACGGAACAAUUCGUAUG
rnacentral:sRNA from 1 species